rnacentral:tRNA from 1 species
AGCGAGGUAGAGCAGUGGUUAGCUCGUCGGGCUCAUAACCCGAAGGUCGUAGGUUCGACUCCUACCCUCGCAACCA